rnacentral:lncRNA from 1 species
AGCCGCGCAACUUCCCGGGAGCCCGGGCCAAAGUGAGCGCAAAGUGCUGCCCAAGUUGCCGGGAUGGAGCUGCAGAGCCGGCCCGAGGCGCUCGCCGUGGAACUCGCGCGCCACCAGAACGGCGACCUCAAGAAGCAGCUCCACGAAAGGCAGCCGCGGAUCGCCGCGCUCAGCGACAAACAAGUAAGCGAUGGGAUCGCGGCCCCCCCUGGGAUGGGGCGGGAGGGUGGCUGGGCACUUUGGCGGCGCCCUAAAAAGUGCCAGCCUGGGCGACGCACGCUCAGACUCCCAGAGGGGUCUGUCUCCAGUUCUCAAAGUUCCCCACCCCUCCCCUUUCCUGGAAAGAAAGAGCCGGGUUCUCGGAGGCGGCAGGGAGAGCCGGGCCCUGCGGGGGCCGAAGAGAGGAGCUCACUUAAAAGGCAGCGCGCGGCCCGGCGUCCAUUUUGAGGUGGUGGACAUGUUUUUGGAACGUGGCGAUUUCUCCCGGCUCGGAGUCCCCCGCUUUGCGCUGAGGCGGCCAUGGGGGCGGAGGGGGGCGGCCGUGGGGGCCUGGACACCAAACUCGUUGGAAGCGA